rnacentral:rRNA from 1 species
UGGGGAAUAUUGGACAAUGGGCGAAAGCCUGAUCCAGCCAUGCCGCGUGUGUGAAGAAGGUCUUCGGAUUGUAAAGCACUUUAAGUUGGGAGGAAGGGCAUUAACCUAAUACGUUAGUGUUUUGACGUUACCGACAGAAUAAGCACCGGCUAACUCUGUGCCAGCAGCCGCGGUAAUACAGAGGGUGCAAGCGUUAAUCGGAAUUACUGGGCGUAAAGCGCGCGUAGGUGGUUUGUUAAGGUGGAUGUGAAAUCCCCGGGCUCAACCUGGGAACUGCAUUCAAAACUGACUGACUAGAGUAUGGUAGAGGGUGGUGGAAUUUCCUGUGUAGCGGUGAAAUGCGUAGAUAUAGGAAGGAACACCAGUGGCGAAGGCGACCACCUGGACUAAUACUGGCACUGAGGUGCGAAAGCGUGGGGAGCAAACA